AUUGAACGCUGGCGGCAGGCCUAACACAUGCAAGUCGAGCGAGCGGCGGACGGGUGAGUAAUGUCUGGGAAACUGCCUGAUGGAGGGGGAUAACUACUGGAAACGGUAGCUAAUACCGCAUACGAUCAGAUGUGCCCAGAUGGGAUUAGCUAGUAGGUGGGGUAACGGCUCACCCAGGCGACGAUCCCUAGCUGGUCUGAGAGGAUGACCAGCCACCCUGGAACUGAGACACGGUCCAGACUCCUACGGCAGGCAGCAGUGGGGAAUAUUGCACAAUGGGGGCAAGCCUUAUGCAGCCAUGCCGCGUGUGUGAAGAAGGCCUUCGGGUUGUAAAGCACUUUCAGCGGGGAGGCGUUACCCGCAGAAGAAGCACCGGCUAACUCCGUGCCAGCAGCCGCGGUAAUUC
rnacentral:rRNA from 1 species